UUCCCAGUCACGAUAAGCAUACCUGUAUCGUGAGGUCUAGGAGACAAUUCGGAGAAGUAUACCCCUUCAUUUGUUAAGAAGAAUUCUACACCAAAUAUUCCAGCGCCCCCUAAUGCUUGUGUCACUUUUUCUGCCAUGUAUUGUGCUUCCGCUAAAUCUUUUUCAGAAACACGGGCAGGUUGCCAACCUCUUGAUAGUCGCCACGCUCUUGCCUGUGUCCAAUUGGCGCACAAAAUAGGGUAGGUAAACUGUGGUUUUGAGUAACGGUUAGUAAAGUAAUUUCUGAAUGGAAGUUUACAAAAGCUUCUACAAUUACUUCUACAAUAUCACCACGAGAACCUUCAACUGCAUAAUUCCACGCUUUUUCAAUAUCUUCUUCUUUUAUAAUAGUAGAUUGUCCUUUUCCAGAAGAGCUCAUUAAUGGUUUUACUACACAUGGAAUACCUACUUCGGUAACUGCUUUUUCUAAUUCUUCUUUGCUAGUUGCGUAACGAUAGGUUGCUGUUCUAAGUCCUAAAUCUUUUGCAGCUAAAUCACGAAUAGCUUUUCUGUUCAUGGUAAAAUUAGCUGCUUUUGCUGAUGGCACUACGGUAAUUCCUUUUUUUUCAUAGUCAUAAAGACGCUCUGUACGAAUGGCUUCAAUUUCUGGCACAAUAAAAUCGGGUUGGUGUUUAGCAACUAUAGCAUCCAAUGCCUCGCCGUCUAACAUAUUAAUUACUUCAAAGGCAUCAGCAACUUGCAUAGCCGGCGCAUUUUCAUAACUAUCUACUGCAAUACAAUAUUGACCUAUGCGUUGUGCGGCAAUUACAAAUUCUUUUCCUAAUUCUCCAGCACCUAAAAGGAGUAUUUUUUUCUUCAUACGAUUUUAAUUAAAAACCCCGAGUUUCCUCAGGGCAUAAAUUUUAUUGCAAAGCUUCUUUAAUUCUUUUGAUGGCUUCUUUAAGUUGUUCCUCGCUCGUUGCAUAAGAUAAACGAAUGCAGUUAGGGUUUCCAAAUGCAUCACCUGUAACGGUUGCAACGUUUGCUUCUGCAAGAAGGUACAUUGCAAAGUCGUUUGCGUCUUUGAUUAGUUGUCCUCUUAAAGUUUUUCCAAAAUAUUCUGAUACAUCUGGGAAAAAAUAGAAGGCACCUUCUGGCAUGUUUAAUUUAAAACCUGGUAUUUCAGAAAGUAAUUCGUAAACCAAUUGUCUUCUAUUUUUAAAAGCAUCAACCAUAUAUGCUGCUUACCCGCAGAAGGACGGAAAGACCCUAUGCACCUUAACUGUAAGCUGUCACUGGUCGUUUGGUUUCCAUGCUUAGCGUAAGUGGGACACUUUGAAGCGAUACUUUCGGGUAUCGUGGAGUGGACGAUGAAACACCACCCUUGGGUAUUGAACGAUCUAACCGCGACCCCUAACCGGGGCGUGGGACCAUGUCAGCCGGUCAGUUUUACUGGGGCGGUAUCCUCCCAAAGAGUAACGGAGGAGUGCGAAGGUUGGCUCAGCGUGGUUGGCAAUCACGUGACGAGUAUAUUGGCAUAAGCCAGCCUAACUGUGAGACUGACAAGUCGAACAGAUACGAAAGUAGGCCAAAGUGAUCCGGCGGUUUAAAGUGGAAUUGCCGUCGCUUAACGGACAAAAGGUACGCUAGGGAUAACAGGCUGAUCUUGCCCAAGAGUUCAUAUCGACGGCAAGGUUUGGCACCUCGAUGUCGGCUCAUCGCAUCCUGGGGCUGGAGAAGGUCCCAAGGGUCCGGCUGUUCGCCGGUUAAAGCGGUACGCGAGCUGGGUUCAGAACGUCGCGAGACAGUUCGGUCCUCUAUCCUCUGUGUGCAAUAUCGUGACUGGGAAAGUAAUUUAAGUUAGUACGAGAGGAACACUUAAUUUGGAUAUUUGGUUCAAGGCUCGUCUGAAAAGACGAUGGCCUGAAGCUACCAUCCAUUGGAUAAUGACUGAACGCCUCUUAAGUUUGACUCUAUUCUUGAAGUGGAUGCGAGUGGG
rnacentral:rRNA from 1 species